rnacentral:rRNA from 1 species
AUGGAAUAUUUGGGAGAUGGCGAAGGGAUGAAAGGAAACCGGGGCUUGGCCGUGAGCACAGCUGGGGGUGACGACGCGUUUGCAGGAGCCGUUGUUGCUGCAGUCGAGGAUGCCCAACGCGAGAGCGUUGCACUGGUCCACUACAUCGGUCGGGAGUACGUUGAUCCGCCCAACAACUUGGUGCCUCUUACUUUGAAGCAAGUUUCCAUGCUAACUCCUUCAGCCAGGCAUGGGGGGGCACUAUCGAUACAUGGGAUGCCUGUCAACACGGCACGACUGCUUGGUAGGGUGUGGAACCGUACGGAAUCGUCGGAAGAGAUCAGCUUCGUUCUAGGCGAUGGCACUGGGUCUAUCGAAGCCAAGAUAUGGACAAUAGACGGGGAGUACAUGCGGGCGUUACGUGAAGUUAGGAAUGGAGACUACGUUGUGGUUAACGGCUCUAUAAGGACGCGGGAUUCUGUCAUGCAUAUACGAGCCUACUCAACCAGGCUUGUGACUAACUACAACGAGAUUACUAACCACUUCCUCCAUUGCAUAUACGUCUCCCUCGAUCUUCAGAAGCAGUUGAGGGAGAGAGAAAUGGAUAUUCGUCGGGCGAAUCUGGUGGUAGCCUCAAACGAGCAGUCUCAGGCUCCCAACGGCGCGGAGAAGCUUUUUGGUGAUGUUCUUCAAGUUUUCUACCGUCCAGGAAUAGUGUACGUGCCUGUCUUCCAAGAUAACAAAAUUCUAGCACGCCCAUUAUCACUCCCCCCCUGA